ACCAAUGUCGUUUCUUACUGUCCAAAGAAAAGAAAACCCUAUCUCACGCUCGCCUCUGCAUCUUCAGUCGGUUCAAAACUGAAAAAGGUUUUGAGUAGCAGCAACUACAGGCUUCUCUUUUUCAUCAGCCAGCUACUGCUUUAGGGUUUCAUACUUCGUUUGCGAUGCUUUAUUGACUACCAGCUCGCCGAGGUAAGUUCGUAACUGAACAGUCAGUGAUUGCCAAUGGGGCGUAAUUUGUCUAAUCAUUCACAAUCUCCCAUUAGAGGUCGGGGUUCUCCUCAUAGAAAGAGCCCAUCUCGAAGAGAAAGAUCACCAGCAGCACGACACCGGAGCUCCCAUAGGGAUAGCUCUUCAGCAAGAGAGAAACGCUCAACUCGUACUAAAUCUCCAAAGCAUGAGAUGUCUCACUCUCCCCUUCCGGCACGGCAUAGGAGCUCCCAGAGGGAUAGCUCCCCACAGGCAAGAGAGAAAAAUUAUAGCCCUGAAAAGUCUCGCUCUCCUUCUCCAAGAACAAAGCGGUUAAGGAGGGCGCAGGCUGACAGAGAAACUGAGACUGUAGUGGAGAGGGACCGUGAAAGGAAUCAUGGCAAGGGGGAUGAUAAGGGUAUGCAUAGGGAAAGAGAGACAGAAAAAUUGUUUGAGAGAGAACGUGAGAAAAGUCAUGGCAAGGGAAGUGAUAAGAGUGCACGUAGAGAAAGAGAGGCUGAGAUAUUGACUGAGAGAGAGUAUGAAAAGAAUCAUGGAAGGGUUACUGACAAGAAUACACAUAGAGAAAGAGGUGAAGAUAGGGAUGGAGCUGAGAGAAUGGAGAGAAGGUCAGGGAGAGAUGCAACUGAUGGCAAGUCUUCUAGAGCCAGGAAUGGGCUAUCAACUUCUCCAUCAGAUCACAAUCACAGGAGCAAACAUAGAUCUCGAUCGCCUCUAAGAGAUGCCCAUAGGAGAGAACGUGAUGAGGUGACCAACUCAAGAGGAACAGAACGAAGGAGUGACGUUGAUGAUUCUGUGGCAAAGAUGAAGGCCGCUGAGGAGGCCUUGGAAGCAAAGCAAAAGCAACAACCUUCAUUUGAGCUAUCCGGAAAACUUGCUGCGGAAACCAAUAGAGUUAGAGGUGUUACGCUACUGUUCAACGAGCCUCCAGAUGCUCGCAAACCUGAUAUAAGAUGGCGACUAUAUGUUUUUAAGAAUGGUGAAGUGCUGAAUGAGCCCCUAUAUAUACAUCGUCAGACCUGUUAUCUUUUUGGUAGAGAAAGAAGGGUUGCAGAUAUUCCUACAGACCACCCAUCUUGUAGCAAGCAACAUGCAGUCAUUCAAUUCCGGCAAGUAGAAAAGGAGCAGCCUGAUGGUACCUUAUCUAAGCAAAGGAUUACUGGAGAUACAGUGAAGAAUUCACUAGACACUAUAAGAUGAUAAGGAAAAUGUACUAUAAAAUUUGUUUUGGGAAAAGGGAAUUUGCAGAAUAGGAUUGUGUCAUUGUGGUAAGACGACAGACAGCAACCCACACACAUGUUCAGCUUUCUAAGCUAUUUCGCAUUGUAUGACUUGAAUGAUGACUAGAUAUAGAUGAUGAUUGUGGUGAUCCAUUAUCAUAGGUUGUCUGCUGGACUUGUUAUGACAUAUCCAUGCCGAGAAUACGUACUAUUGCACGAGAAUUCAGCAAGCUGAUAGGUGUCAAUUUGCAUCUCCAAGAUGUUUUUCGGUCUUCAGCAUGUGGGAGAUUUGGGAACACUUUGUUUGUCUACAACACUCUUGUUCUAGGAAACGGGAGAGCUCUAUAUAGCAGUCAUUCUACUUUGAUUAGGAUUGGACAGAACUUAUAUCAAAUGCAAGAACUUAUUUGGUCA